CUUGGCUAAUUCUGAUUGUUUUUUUAAUAAAAUAUAUAAAACAAUGUGCAUUUGUAUUCAUGGGAAAACUAUCCUGGAACUAAGGCACAGAGGCUGACAGGCUGGCCCAGGGCAUCCUCAAAUAUCUGUGUAUUCACAGAUGUUUUCUCCCUCUUCUGUCUCUGUCUCUGUCUCUGUCUGUCUCUGUCUCUGUCUCUCUUCCUCUCUGUCUCUCUCUCUGUCUCUCUGUCUCUCUCUCUCUCUCUGUCUCCUCUCUCUCUGCUCUCUCUCUCUCUCUCUCUCUCUCUCUCUCUCUCUCUCUCACACACACACACACACACACACACACACACACACACACACACACCCCUCCUAACUUAUAUUUAAACCAAAACUUGGGAUUUGCUCUUUGAGGUUAACAUUCAAUGACCAUCGAAAGCCUUCAGAAGUGAGAAAAGAGCCAGCACUGGAGGCCUCCAGACCUGAGACCGAAGUCCCAAAGUUGAGGGAGUACCGGGACGAGGAGGGGGCAUCUCUGGUCCUGAGAAAGAAGUCUUCCAAGGGGGGUCCACAGCACCAUUCCCCGCAUCUCCUUAUCGCAGGGCGCCCAGGGGCUCCCCAGCAGGAGGCUCUGGGGCGGGGCCCAAGGGCCGGGUGACGUCCAUCUCAGAUGGCACCCAUCACUCUGCCUGGGCACAAGAGCAGGGGCUGGAGUGGGGAGCCAAGGUGAGGGACUGGAGCCAGGCCCGCUCACCCACUAUACCCUGAAGAGGGGCCGUGGAGGAGAGAGAAUUGGGAGGCAGAGCCAUCAGCCCCUUCUCCCGCCCCUUGGGUCCCAAUGCCUAGGGGUCACAAGCAGGAAGCCCGCGGGGCCCCUCCGGAGGGUAGAGGCUGAGGGCGCAGGAGAUCCACUUCCCCAGCGGGAGCAGAGGCCGGGCCAGGCUAGCACCUGGGACAGAGGCCAGCUUUCAGGCCCGUCUCUGGGCCCCUCCCCCACCCCCCUGCCAGUGGUCCGCCGGCUCUCCCCGCGCCCCCCUCAGUAGUAGCUGUUCAGGCUGCGGGUGGCCGGGCCGGGGCCGUCGGGCUGCCCGUUCCGCCGGCUCUCCCCGGCCCCCCUCAGUAGUAGCUGUUCAGGCUGCGGGUGGCCGGGCCGGGGCCGUCGGGCAGGGAGUUCCGCCGGCUCUCCCCGGCCCCCCUCAGUAGUAGCGGUUCAGGCUGCGGGUGUCGGGGCGGGGGCCGGGCCGGGGCCGUCGGGCAGGGAGUUCCGCCGGCUCUCCCCGCGCCCCACCUCAGCAGUAGCUGUUCAGGCUGCGGGUGGCCGGGCCGGGGCCGUCGGGCUGCCCGUUCCUCCGGCUCUCCCCGCGCCCCCCUCAGUAGUAGCGGUUCAGGCUGCGGGUGGCCGGGCCGGGGCCGUCGGGCUGCCCGUUCAGCCAGAUCUCGCGGAUGAUGCGCUCCCUCUCCUCCAGCCGCUGCGCCCGCUCCAGCUCCUCGGCCGACGUGAACACGUUCCUGUGGGGCGGCCGCUCGAAGAGCCAGGGCCUGCGCGCGGAGCCGGCCGAGGAGCAGCCGUCGCCGCUGUCGCCGCUGUCCUCGCUGUCGCUGGCGCUGAGGUCGCAGCUGCCGCCGCGGCGCCCGGCCGGGCCCUUCUUCCCGCGCCGCGGCCGGCAGUCGGCGCGGCAGGACACGGUCAGCACCAAGGCGGCCAGCGUGAGCACGAGCCCCACGCACACGCCGGAC
rnacentral:lncRNA from 1 species